UACGAAGGGGGCUAGCGUUGCUCGGAAUCACUGGGCGUAAAGCGCACGUAGGCGGGCUCUUAAGUCGGUGGUGAAAUCCUGGAGCUCAACUCCAGAACUGCCUUCGAUACUGAGAGUCUUCGAGUCCGGGAGAGGUGAGUGGAACUGCGAGUGUAGAGGUGAAAUUCGUAGAUAUUCGCAAGAACACCAGUGGCGAAGGCGGCUCACUGGCCCGGUACUGACGCUGAGGUGCGAAAGCGUGGGGAGCAAACAGG
rnacentral:rRNA from 1 species